AUGAUCAAUAAUGUUGAGGGACAAGUUUUGGCUGCAGCGUUGCCAGCGCUCCCCAGGUCGCUCCCGCGGGCGGCCAGGGAGCGAACCCUGCCGCCGCCGCUCAGUCUCGGCCGUCGGCUCCUCCCCUCGCCGCCGCCGGCGGACGGUCGCCUGGCGAAGCCCGCGCGGCUCGGCGGCGGCGGGGUCUACCUCACCUCCGGCUCGGGCGGGGGCGGCGCGGGCCGUCUGCUCCGGCGCAGAUCUGGCGCGGCGCGGCGUGGGUGCGCAAGGCGCGGCGUGCGGCGGGGUUCUCCUCGUCUGGCGGCAGGCGCUCGAGGUGGGGGAGGCUCGAUCCCUUUUCUGCUGCGCGUCUUGGCGGCUCCAGGCGGGACGGUGGCCUCGGCAGCGGCGCCAGUAGGCCUUCAGGGCACCUCCCCGUGGCUCUUCUCCGGCUUGCCGGUCUAUAGCAGCGUCUCUCGCGGGUGGCAGCCGCGGUUUGCUUCGUCGGCGGGCUCCGGUUCUUCGUCCGGACGCCCAUCUCCGGCGAGUCGGGGCGGGCGCGGCCCUCCCCUUCCUGUUACGAGGGGCUCGUCUUCGCAAUGGCUGGCAGCGUGCCGGCCUUUGGAGGUCUCUGUGCUGUUGCAGCGGCGGUGGGAUGCUAGAUCUGGCCGUUUUCUGCUGGAUCAGGCUCGGUGGCAUCUUUCUAGCCGUAGGCGAGGUAUGUGGUGGCUUCUACUUGGUCAUGGCGCAAUGACUACGUGGGAGGUGUGCGGAUCUUGCCGGCCGGCGGCGUCGGCGUCCGCGGACGUCGUGUCACCUCCUUGGAGGCACCGCCAUGGAGUCCACCCCCUGCACACCCUCGGUUCCAGCUCUUCGGGUGAAAGCCUAAGGCCCUGUCAGGUCGGACGACAGCGUCGACAUCGUCGCUUCCUUCUUUGGGGUGUCGUCUUGAAGAGCUUUGGAUCCCGUUUGCGCGCUCCAUGGGCUGGACGCUCGCGGCAUUGCGGUCGGCAGCUAGCUAGCUUUGCCCGUCAGCUGCCGCCGUGCGCUGCUUCCUACGCGCCGCCGCCGCGAGUUCCUCAGCCGCGCCGCGUGACGUUUUCCUCCACGCAGCCGCUGCAAUGUCGUCCUCUGCCCUGUCCGUCGCCCAAACCAGGGGUGCAAUCGUCUCAUCCCCCAUUGUCACGAUCCCCGCCGCGAUGGCCGUCCCGACGAUCUCCGUCCGCCUCGGCCGCCACAACUUCAUGCUCUGGGGGCAUCACCAGCACCGUUCUCUCUAGGGCCAACCUCCAUGGACACCUCGAUGGCACCUCGGCGGCACCGGACCGUACACUCGCGGUCGGUACCGGCGACGCUGCUACCACCGUCGCCAACCCGGAGUACCACCAAUGGUGGGUUCAAGAUCAGCGGGUCAAUUGGAUUCUCCUCACCUCCAUGGAUGAGGACAUUGCAUGCCAACUCAUUGGCUGUGAGUCGGCGCAUACGGGGUCGACCGCCGGCGCCGCCAUGUUCGGUGCUCAGAGCCGCGCCAAUGUUCGCCAUAUCCAGCGUCAACUUCAGUCGCUCCGGAAGGAAGAGAUGUCCACGUCGGAAUACAUGCACAAGAUGAAGGCACUGGCUGACACUAUGGCUGCCGUCGGCUCCCCAAUCCGCGAUGAUGAGCUUAUCGAUCACAUCCUCACCGGACUCGGCUCCGCCUACAACUCCAUCGCCGUCUCCUUGGGUAGUGCGGUGGAGGGGUGGUCUCCCUCCGCGAACGCCGUGACACAUUCGGGUUCGUACGGCGCGGGCGGACGCGCGCCCUACUCCGAUCCCUACGCCUCCCAAGGGGGGGGGGGGCGCCCGGCUGAUGGACAUGGCCAGCCCGGGCAGAGCCGCCAGGGCGGUAAUGGCGUCAACUCUGGCGGCCGUGACCGCAACGCUGGUUAUGCCGGCAAUGGCCGGCAAGGUGGAGGGGGCAACAGCGGCGGAGGAGGUGGGCGUUGCAACCGCUGCCGUCCCCGAUGCCAAAUUUGCAAGAACUGGGGCCAUGAAGCCGACGACUACCGUAAGCGCUAUGAUCAGGAUCACAACUUCCGCUCCGCCAACUCGGCCUCCACCAACACCGUCGACUUUCCUUGGGUGCUGGAUACCGGGGCUACGGAUCACUUGACUAAUGAUCUUGAGCGCCUCCAGGUUCACGAGCGCUAUGACGGCAAAGAUCAGGUUCAGGUGGCCAAUGGCGCAGGCGAUGUUGCUCUCUGUUCUCCUCAGGUACCGGUUGCUGCUUCACCGCCUCCUGACGUGAUCGACGUGCAUGCUGAGGACGUGCAUGUCACGCCGCCCAAGGUAGGCGCGGCGACCUCUCCAGCUAGCGAGCCCGCGGUCGCGACUGGCUCGCCACCCUCGCCCGGUGCGUCACCCGGGCCUCCACCCUCGCCUGUCGCACCGGGGUCGCCACCCUUGCCAGGUGCGUCACCUGGGUCGCCGUCUUCGCCUGGGCCGGCCCAGCGCCCGGUCAUACCUCGGCCCGUGUCGCCUGUCGCUGAGGCCCCCUCAGUCGCGACACCUCUAGCCGAGCCCUCGUCGCCGCCAUCUCCUUCCACCGGCGAUGCCGUUCCGGGGCACGCUAUGGUUACCCGGCAACGUGAUCAUACGCGCAAGGAGAAGUCUUACACUGAUGGUACGGUUUGGUAUGAUUCUCGUCGUCGUGCCUUCUUCACCACACCGGUUUCCCAUCGUGAUGCCUUGGGUCAACCUGCCUUCAACUGGAGCACGGACACAUCCUUUUGCAAUUGGUUCGGUGUCUCAUGCAGCGGGCACAGACAACGAGUCACUGCUUUACUAUUGUCGGACAUGCCUCUCGUCGGAUCUGUGUCACCUCACCUCGGUAAUCUAUCUUUUCUUUCUGUUCUCAACAUCACCAACACCAAUCUAACGAGUUCCAUUCCUGCCGAACUUUGGAAGCUACAUCGUCUUAGCUUGUCAGGUCCUAUGCCAGAAGCCGUUGCACACCUAUCCAUGCUUGAGGUCUUGAACCUCGAGGUUAAUCAACUCUCCGGCCUAGUACGGGAAUCCAUGUACAACAUGUCCAGGUUGCAACUUUUGGCCCUUGCAAGUAAUGGAUUGAUUCGCACUCACUGCCUGAUAGCAGGCUUGGCCCAUGAGACCAACUGUCUUAUUGUACUGUCUCACUUCACUACUUUGGAGGAUGGGUUUUCCCCCUUUUUGGUUCGCAAACGCUCUAACCCAUCGAGAAGCUCCAUCCAAAUUGGAGUUGAUGUCAGCACUUCCCUAGAGGCAGAGGCUUUUUCUACAAAAGGAACUUGCAUGCGGCCUUCAAGCCACAACCGCGGUAUGAGUUCUGAUCUCAGACUUUGGUUUGGGGGCUGCUGGCCCCUUCGCGUCGACAAGGAAACUAUGGACGACAAUGGGUUCAGAAUUAGAAUAGAAUGA
rnacentral:rRNA from 1 species